rnacentral:lncRNA from 1 species
GGUUUGUGGUCUGGUGUGGGGGUUCUAUUUAUAACCUCUUGCCUUUUGAUCACAGCCGUUCAUUUCGUUUUAAUCUGGGCCGUUCGUUUUUGAUUGAAUCUGGGCCGUCCGUGCGUUUGAAUCUGGGCCGUCCUAUCGCGCGAUUGAUCUGGGCCGUCGGAUCGCACCCACGCGGAUCGCCAACGUGGCUCCUUUCGGAGUGACGCGAUCUUGCCACGUG